GUGGGAGGGGGCUUGCUCCCGAUCGCGGUGGGUCAGUCAACCUAUGUAUCGGCUGAUUCACCGUAAUCGGGAGCAAGCCCCCUCCCAC
rnacentral:misc_RNA from 1 species